rnacentral:tRNA from 1 species
GAAAUUAUAGUUUAUAAAAAAUAUUUAAUUUGCAUUUAAAAGAAGCCCAAGUUAAUUUUA